GGGGUGUUGGACGACUUUGGCUAGCCAUAAAGUUCUCGUACGGUCGGCAUCUUGUUGUGUCUGGUAGGAGUUCCGUCUUAUAUAGGUACAGCUCCAGUAAAAGGAGUAGGUUACAAAAUAAAAGUAUUUUAAAAGUUGACGUUUCUAGUUACGUUAUCAAUGUACGCUUUGAUUUAUUGGGUAAAUGUUUUAAAAAGGGGUGGCAACCAC
rnacentral:lncRNA from 1 species